GUGCGAGUCUUUGGGUGGCAAACCCAGCGGCACAAUGAAAGUGAAGGCAGGCGGUGGUCUGCUUAGGCGAGAGUCUCCUCGUGGGACGCAUCGUCGACCGAUCCCAGGUCACGCUGUGGCGGGAUUUGAGUGAGAGCGUGCCUGUUGCGACCCGAAAGAUGGUGAACUAUGCCUGAAUAGGGUGAAGCCAGAGGAAACUCUGGUGGAUAGCGAUUCUGACGUGCAAAUCGAUCGUCAAAUUUGGGUAUAGGGGCGAAAGACUAAUCGAACCAUCUAGUAGCUGGUUCCCUCCGAAGUUUCCCUCAGGAUAGCUGGAGCCCGGUGCAGUUUUAUCAGGUAAAGCGAAUGAUUAGAGGUCUUGGGGUUGAAACAACUUCAACCUAUUCUCAAACUUUAAAUGGGUAAGAAGCUUGGCUUGCAUUGAAGUCAGGCAUUGAAUGCCGGGGUUCCUAGUGGGCCAUUUUUGGUAAGCAGAACUGGCGAUGUGGGAUGAACCAAAUGCUGGGUUAAGGUGCCCGAAUCAACGCUCAAGAUACCAUGAAAGGUGUUGGUUGAUCUAGACAGCAGGACGGUGGCCAUGGAAGUCGGAACCCGCUAAGGAGUGUGUAACAACU
rnacentral:rRNA from 1 species